rnacentral:misc_RNA from 1 species
CAAACAUCGGGUUACUGUUUAAUACAGAAUUUUAAAAUUUUUUUGUAUAUCCCUAAAUGUAUUUGUCUGAGAAGCCAGCGAAAAGCGGCGAAAGGUGAUGGAGAGAUUGGCAAGUAACUUGAUAAGCGAAGAGAUUUUGGGGAGGUUGGAUUUGGAGACGCUUUGCACGGCGGCUUGCGUGAGCGGAGCCCUGCGCUUCUCCGUCGACUACCAAGUCCUUCCCUUUCUUUCUUCCCUCGAUUUCCCACCAUCUCUCAAUCCGGAUUCAAACGCUCUUUUUAAUAUCCUCAGUCGCUGCACCAGAGGAGGAACCCUUAAACUUAGCACGCUGACCCUCAAUUGUCGGCGCCUCCAAGAUUCUUGCCUCACCCUUUUCUUAGGUGAACAACUCCAGCAACUCAGUUUAUCUUUCUGCUCCUAUCUCUCAUAUGGGUUUCUUGCUUCCAUAGGAGAAAAAUGCCCCUUUCUCAGGGUGCUAAUGCUAGAAUUUGCAGAUCAAGGCUCACCACAUCUGUUCAAAAAGAAUCUUGCUAGCAUGCUUAGCAAGUGCCGUCUUUUGGAGGUAAGCUAAUCCAAUCAAGCCGUUUUGUUUUGUGUAAAUUCAUUGAUUUCCCAGAUACUCAUUUUGAGUUUCUAUUAACUCUACUCAAGAAAGUAGACCUUUAUCAGCUGAAGCAUGUUUCUCUUCCUGUGGUAGUGUCUGUGUCUUAAAAUUAGAGGGACAGAAGUUGAUGCAAAUGCGUUCCACUCCAUUGAAUGUUUUCUGCCUAGAACUCUUAAAAUUCUGAAAUUAAAGCCAGUGUUUGAGGAAAAUGCAAUCUGUCUGGCAAACAAACUAGGAGCUGGCGGAAAGUUUUCUGCAACAGAAGAUUUCAGCUUCCCUGACUCUCUAGCAUCAUAUGGUUUUGCAUUACAAAGUUUGUCGCUUGUCUUAGAUGUUAUAUCUGACAGGCUACUUAUGACUAUCACCAGCUCGUUUCCUCUUCUGGUAGAGCUGGAUCUUGAAGAUAGGCCAAACAAGGAACCAUCUCCGCACCUUGACUUGACCAAUAGCGGGCUGCAGUUGUUGGGCUCUUGCUAUCAUUUGACUGGACUCUCUCUUAUACGCAGUAGAAAGAACUACCAUGGAUCAUUUAAACAAAUAAAUGAUGUGGGCAUGUUUCUGCUUUCUGAGAGUUGCAAAGAUUUGCAGUCAGUGAGGCUUUGUGGUUUCUCUAGAGUUAGUGAUGCUGGCAUUGCAUCAUUGCUACAUUCCUGCCAGAAGUUAAAGAAAUUUGAAGUUCGUAAUGCCUUAUUUUUGUCAGACUUGGCCUUUCACAAUCUAACUGGAGUCUCAUGUUCCCUUGUUGAGGUGAGAUUACUGUCUUGCAACUUGAUAACCAGUGAAACUGUGAAGAAACUGGGCUCUUCUAGGAGCUUGGAGGUGCUAGAUCUGUGUGGCUGCAAGAGCAUAGCCGAUUCUUGCGUCAGCUCCAUUUCAUGUCUUAGAAGAUUAACAUCUUUGAAUCUUACUGGAGCUGAUAUUACAGAUGAUGGUUUAUCCAUUCUUGGUCACGGUAGUCCACCUAUCUCACAUUUGUGUCUUAGAGGCUGUAAGAGAGUAACCGACAAAGGAAUUUAUCUUUUGUUGUGUGGGGCAAUUGCACAGACAUUGGCAACACUUGAUUUAGGUUACAUGCCAAGAAUAUCAGACAAUGGCAUUUUUACAAUAGUUGCCGCUGGCAGAGAGAUUACUGAAUUAUGUAUUAGGUAUUGCUUUCAUGUGACUGAUUCUUCAUUGCAAGCACUUGGUACAAAGAGAAGCCUCCAAUAUGGGAAUAAGCAACUUCGGCAACUUGAUCUUUUCAAUUGCAUUGGAUUAUCUGCUGGUGCAGUAAGAUUGCUAAGGAAACCCUUAUUCAGUGGACUGCAUUGGGUUGGUAUUGGACAAACUCGAUUGGUAAAUAAGAGAGGUGCUAUUAUGACUGAAAUUUGCAAUGAACGGCCGUGGAUGACUGUGUGUUCUGAUGGUUGUGAAAUGGGAUGUCAUGAUGGGUGGCAGUUCCAUAGAUCAGAAAGCCUUUAAUUUUCUUUCAACUUCAUUAUUUACUGCAUUGAUGCAUUUUAUAUGACCUUCGGAUGACCAAGGCUGAAUGUGUGUGGGCACAUGGACACAAGGACAUGGAAGAUCUUGAGAACACUCUUUGUUUGAUUAUUCCUUGUGAAUUCUCUGUUAUUAAACCUGCAGGUACCACUUUGAUGCAUUGGUUUUCUUAAUCUUUUAAACUUUCCUAUCUCACGGUGAUGCGUCUCAUAUAGGCUAAUUUACUUUUGUCUUUCUAACCUUCUCUUUUUGUUGAUAUCCGCUAAUGCCAUGCUAGCAUAGAAUUUCUUAAUUGAAGAGGUGUUCCAGACACGUUUGUUUAUAAUCCGUUUUCCAGUUACAUAUCUGGUUCAGCAUUAAAAAAAACUUGAAAUUAUUAAAAUACCCUUAAAUAAAACAAUCAUUCUUUUCCAUCAAUGCUCCUCUCUCCUUUCUCUAUGUUUCUUUUCCACCCGCCCUAUCCUUUCACUUGUUCUGUUACCCAACCGUUUCUUCCCCACCUCUCUCCCUCACCAUCUCCAUCUGUCUUUGUGACCAUGUUUUUCUUCUACUCGUCAACCAUCACAAGCAAUUCUCCUCCUCUCGCUUCCCCUUCUUUGGCUUCCUUUCCUCUUCCUUUCUUUCACUACAAACCAAUUGCAGGGAGAUGAAUCUCCUUCUCUAUCUGUUCUUGGCCCCCACUCGUCUUUUUCUUCUACAGCCUCCACGUAGUCUCCAACUGAAAAUGGCAGUAGCAUCGUAGCAGCGGCAUGUCCCGUGCCUAUCAGCUCUGUCAAUGGUUCUUGAAGAAGCUGUUAAAAAAAUCGACAUUUAUCCUCUAAAGGAACCAAAGAUUUUCCUCCCGUAGAAAAAGCGCUCCCCCUAUUGGCUCUGCCACCAACAGCUUUCGCUCCUCUAACUGCAGUGUUGUUAUAACCAUGCGAGUGAUUGCGUCGACCAUGUCCGUUUUGUUGGGUUUUCCAUGGUGGUUGUAUUCUUGGCCAUAAUUGAUUGAAUCUGUGUUCAAUCAUGUAUUUUGUUGAUUUGAUGACAUUUUAAUUUUAAAAUUUAUUAUAAUUUGUUAAUGAAGUGAAAAUUUUGUACAAAUUUG